UACUGAAACAACUCGACGGUCUGCUCUGAACACAUUACAACCAGCAUUGGUCAAAGAUGGCGUCAACCACAUCAAAAAUAUUCCUGGCGGUUUUGUUGCUGACAUGCGUGUCCUGGACACAGGCCCAGUGCAAAGCUUAUGACGAGGUUGAUAUUCUUUUCCGCAAAGCACCAUCUAACAGGCAUUGCUCUUACCUAUGUAUCGAUGAGUAUAAAUGUUUCUUCUAUCAACAUCACCGGGACGGUAGUUGCUACUUGUUUGUAUCGGACGGAAAAGUGGUAAAUGUAGACGAGAAUGUAUAUCACGAUAGCACUAUAGCAUGUAGAGAUAGAAGCAGAUGUGCUGGUUAUUGUGAAGAUUUUAACUUUCCCGUGGAAGUAAAAAAUCACAAGGAGUGCUUUACGACCUGCCUCAAUACAAAGAGAUGUUGGAACUAUGUCUUCGACCCAUCCGAUGGUUCUUGUCUGAUCCGAACUAAAGGCGGACUUCCAACCAACCAUGAUUAUAAUGUUAACAACAACUUUUGGUCACACGUUGCUUGUAAUUACUAAGCAGCGUUUCUUUCAGGCAUAUUCCACGGAACAAGAUAUACAUUUACAGCGUUCUCUACCGACAUCCCCCCCCCUCCCUCACCGAAAAUUUGAGUGAGCCACUCCCCCUUUCGAGCAGAAUGUUCCGAACGAAACAUUAUGUAUAACUAGUUUAUACAUUUUUUCCAUAACAAAAUUAUGCUUUAGAUCAGUAGAUUAAUACCAUUUAGCACAUCUUUAUCACUAAUUUUAGUUUCGUUUAAGGUGUUCAUUGUUUUUCAAGUGCUUUUUAUUUUGGCUACAUUAGGAAAUACAAAAUCAAUGUAAGCAUAUUUUAAAUUGCCUUUUAAAAAAUUAAAGUAUUAAUUCAACUUUAAACUAAAUAUACUAUAAAAGAUACACAACAAAUAUAAGUGAAUCCGAUAUAAAUGAUGCGAAUUUUCAUGAUCUUGUAUUUGAUAUAGCUUGUAUUUCUGGGUUUAUUUUCGUAAAUUAGAAAAUCACUUUGCAAAUAUUUUGGUCAUUGU